GUUAAAUAGUACGUGAAACUGCUUAGAGGUUAAGCCCGAUGAACCUGAAUAUCCCGUAAUAUGGAAAAGUCAUUCACUAUGACAGUAAUAUUUUAUUAAAUAUUAUGAGUAAUAGUGUGCAUUUUUUCCCAUUAAAAGACAUUGUAAUCUAUUAACAUUAACUUACUAAUAUUUAUCAAAAGAUCAUUGGCGUAAGUUUAUUCAAAAUAUUUUGCAUUGGCAAUUUAAAACAGAAUAAAGCUUAUGAUUUGAUAAAGUGUUGAUAGAUUGAAUUCGUAUAUAGCGCUGAAAUAAUAAUUUAUUUUAUUAUUUUGAGUGGAUUGAAAAGUCAAUGAUUUUAAAUUCACUUAUGCGCUUAUAUGAUUUUCAAUGCGAAAGAUUCAGGAUACCUUCGGGACCCGUCUUGAAACACGGACCAAGGAGUCUAAC
rnacentral:rRNA from 1 species